AUUGGAUUGAGAACAAUGUACAACUCUUAUCGAUAAGCCAUUGGAGGGCAAGUCUGGUGCCAGCAGCCGCGGUAAUUCCAGCUCCAAUAGCGUAUAUUAACGUUGUUGCAGUUAAAAAGCUCGUAGUUGAAGUGUGGGUGAUCGCUGUUGUGAGACUUCGGUCUCUCGACAGUAAGUCACCCCCUUCCAGUAUCCAGUAGUGGGUAUUCAGUUACUUACUAUUGUGUGUUGGUCGUUUACUGUGAGAAAAUUAGAGUGUUCAAAGCAGGCGUUUGCUUGAAUAGAUUAGCAUGGAAUAAUAAUUGAAGGCUUUCGUGUUCGAUUUGAUUGGUUUGUUCAUGGAAGCAAGGUUAAAAGGAACAGUUGGGGGUAUUCAUAUUCACUAGUUAGAGGUGAAAUUCUCGGAUUUAUGGAAGAUGAACAAGUGCGAAAGCAA
rnacentral:rRNA from 1 species